rnacentral:rRNA from 1 species
GAGUUUGAUCGUGGCUCAGGAUGAACGCUGGCGGCGUGCUUAACACAUGCAAGUCGAGCGGAGAUGUUUAAAAGCUUGCUUUAAACAUCUUAGCGGCGGACGGGUGAGUAACGUGUGGGUAACCUGCCUUAUACUGUGGAAUAAUCACUUGAAAAGGUGACUAAUACCGCAUGUGGUCUCUGGAGGGCAUCCUCUGGAGAAGAAGGAUUUAUCGGUAUAAGAUGGACCCGCAUCUGAUUAGCUAGUUGGUGAGAUAAUAGCCCACAAGGCAACGAUCAGUAGCCGA